rfam:Staphylococcus capitis strain CR03 genome assembly, contig: BN1517_Contig_12
UCCUUUAAUUAGGACACGUGUAUUAACUAGAUACGCUCCCCCUUACAAUUGUUGUGAGAGGGAGCGUUUUU